rnacentral:rRNA from 1 species
GAUGAACGCUGGCGGCGUGCUUAACACAUGCAAGUCGAACGAACGGAGGAGAGCUUGCUCUCCAAAGUUAGUGGCGGACGGGUGAGUAACGCGUGGGUAACCUGCCCUAUGCAGGGGGAUAACGUUUGGAAACGAACGCUAAUACCGCAUAAACUAUCGGUAGUCGCAUGACUACUAUAGCAAAGAUUUCAAGUCAAACUUGACUUUGGCAUAGGAUGGACCCGCGUUGGAUUAGCUAGUUGGUGAGAUAACAGCCCACCAAGGCGACGAUCCAUAGCCGGCCUGAGAGGGUGAACGGCCACAUUGGGACUGAGACACGGCCCAAACUCCUACGGGAGGCAGCAGUGGGGAAUAUUGCACAAUGGGCGAAAGCCUGAUGCAGCAACGCCGCGUGAAGGAAGAAGGCCCUCGGGUUGUAAACUCUUUUAGCAGGGACGAAGGACGUGACGGUACCUGCAGAAAAGCAACGGCUAACUACGUG